AAUCAACGCUGGCGGCGUGCCUAACACAUGCAAGUCGAACGCGAAAGUCCCGCAAGGGAUGAGUAGAGUGGCAAACGGGUGAGUAACGCGUGGGUGACCUGCCUCCGAGCGGGGGAUAACGUUUCGAAAGGAACGCUAAUACCGCAUGACAUCCUGCCUUUGAAGAGGCGGUGAUCAAAGCCGGGGAUCGCAAGACCUGGCACUUGGAGAGGGGCCCGCGUCCGAUUAGCUAGUUGGCGAGGUAACGGCUCACCAAGGCGACGAUCGGUA
rnacentral:rRNA from 1 species